rnacentral:rRNA from 1 species
GACGAACGCUGGCGGCGUGCCUAACACAUGCAAGUCGAACGGAGUUGAUUGUAACAUCGAGCUUGUUGUCAGAGAAGAGGAUGAGUUGGAUGUUAUAAUCAACUUAGUGGCGGACGGGUGAGUAACGCGUGAGUAACCUGCCUAUCUGAGGGGGAUAACAUUUGGAAACAGAUGCUAAUACCGCAUAAAAUGUAAAUACCGCAUGGUAAAGACAUCAAAGGAGGAAUCCGCAGAGAGAUGGACUCGCGUCCGAUUAGCCAGUUGGCGGGGUAAAGGCCCACCAAAGCGACGAUCGGUAGCCGGACUGAGAGGUUGAACGGCCACAUUGGGACUGAGACACGGCCCAG